rnacentral:rRNA from 1 species
UACGGGGGGUGCGAGCGUUGUCCGGAAUCACUGGGCGUAGAGGGCGCGUAGGUGGUUUGAUAAGGGUGUGGUGAAAGUCCGGAGCUCAACUCCGGAUCUGCCGUGCCGACUGUCAAACUCGAGGGCUGUAGAGGCAGACGGAAUUCCGGGUGUAGCGGUGGAAUGCGUAGAGAUCCGGAGGAAGACCGGUGGCGAAGGCGGUCUGCUGGGCAGUUUCUGACACUGAGGCGCGACAGCGUGGGGAGCAAACAGG